rnacentral:rRNA from 1 species
UACGUAGGUGGCAAGCGUUGUCCGGAAUUAUUGGGCGUAAAGCGCGCGCAGGCGGUCCUUUAAGUCUGAUGUGAAAGCCCACGGCUCAACCGUGGAGGGUCAUUGGAAACUGGGGGACUUGAGUACAGAAGAGAAGAGUGGAAUUCCACGUGUAGCGGUGAAAUGCGUAGAGAUGUGGAGGAACACCAGUGGCGAAGGCGGCUACCUGGCCCACUCUUGACGCUGAGGCGCGAAAGCUAGGGGAGCAAACGGG